CUGGCCUCCAACCAUCUCAAUAAAAAGUUUUUGGCCUUCCUGUGCGACCGUCAUUUGUGAAGCCUAUUUGCCCAAAGGUUGAGUUCCAGAAGAACUAAUACCAUUGUUUAAAGACUCUGAUUUGGAACUUUCCCAUUGUCAAAAUUGAUUCGCCGACUGAGGUUGAGCUCCAGCGGAGCUAAUACCACUGUCUAAAGACUCCAAUAUGGAACCUUUUCAUUGUCAAAAUUGAUUCGCAGACUAAGGAAGCUGGAAAUGUGCCAUAUGUUGUCGAGAACGGAUGCGGGAACCAAAAGAGAUAGCCAAAAU